AAUAAAAUAAAAUAGGGCUUUUAUUAUUUAGUUGUUAUAUUACUUAAUAGUGACAUAUAUGAUACAUAUGCUACAUAUAUACAUAUAUAUUCAUUUGUAAACCAAUGUAAUCUCAUGGGCAACAUAGAUGUGAGUAUGAGUGAAUGAGUGUGCGAGGCGAGUGUGCACCCACUCCAGCGCCCCUCCUCCCCCUAUACCUUGAUCUUAUUACCCGAGAUGAAAAAAAACCUCCCUGCUGCGAAGCUCCCCUGCUUGGGCCCUGUGCAGUGAGGCCUUCCUAGAGGCAGUGGCAUCAUCACCCGAGGCUCUAGUUCAGUCCUGGCUCAGAGUCAGUUCCGAGGGGUCCGGUGCUCAGAUGUGAUGAAUUGAUCAGAUAGACGAUGUUUGUCCCCUGGGUCGUUGAUUUAUCAAAGGCAAUUCUGAUCUAA